rnacentral:rRNA from 1 species
AAAACUCACCAGGUCAGGACACGGUAAGGAUUGACGGACUGAAGGCUCUUUCUCGAUUCCGUGGAAAGUGGUGCAUGGCCGUUUUUGGUUGGUGGAUCGAUCCGUCUGGUUAAUUCCGUUAACGAACGAGACCUCGGCACUCCGAAUAGCGCGGCGGACGUCGCGGCCUCCGGGCCGUCUUCCGCACGAGCUUCUUAGAGGGACCGUCCCCCGCCGGGGAAGGAGGUGCGAGGCAACGACAGGUCUGUGAUGCCCUUAGAUGUUCUGGGCCGCACGCGCAUUACACUGACGCGUCCAACGGGUGACUCCCGACCCGAAGGGGCCGGGGAAUCCGCAAGGCGCGUCGUGAUGGGGAUUGAACGUUGCAAUUGUUGUUCACGAACGAGGAAUUCCUAGUAGGCGCGGGUCAUCAACCCGCGCCGAUUACGUCCCUGCCCUUUGUACACACCGCCC